GUCCACGCCGUAAACGAUGUCGACUAGCCGUUGGCCCUAUUUACAGGGUUAGUGGCGCAGCUAACGCAUUAAGUCGACCGCCUGGGGAGUACGGCCGCAAGGUUAAACUCAAAUGAAUUGACGGGGCCCGCACAAGCGGUGGAGCAUGUGGUUUAAUUCGAUGCAACGCGAAGAACCUUACCUACCCUUGACAUCCAGAGAAUCUGUUAGAGAUAGUAGAGUGCCCUUGGGAGCUCUGAGACAGGUGCUGCAUGGCUGUCGU
rnacentral:rRNA from 1 species